rnacentral:rRNA from 1 species
AUGAACGCUGGCGGCGUGCCUAAUACAUGCAAGUCGAGCGAACAGACGAGGAGCUUGCUCCUCUGACGUUAGCGGCGGACGGGUGAGUAACACGUGGAUAACCUACCUAUAAGACUGGGAUAACUUCGGGAAACCGGAGCUAAUACCGGAUAAUAUAUUGAACCGCAUGGUUCAAUAGUGAAAGACGGUUUUGCUGUCACUUAUAGAUGGAUCCGCGCCGCAUUUGCUAGUUGGUAAGGUAACGGCUUACCAAGGCAACGAUGCGUAGCCGACCUGAGAGGGUGAUCGGCCACACUGGAACUGAGACACGGUCCAGACUCCUACGGGAGGCAGCAGUAGGGAAUCUUCCGCAAUGGGCGAAAGCCUGACGGAGCAACGCCGCGUGAGUGAUGAAGGUCUUCGGAUCGUAAAACUCUGUUAUUAGGGAAGAACAAAUGUGUAAGUAACUAUGCACGUCUUGACGGUACCUAAUCAGAAAGCCACGGCUAACUACGUG